CCUACGGGAGGCAGCAGUGGGGGAUAUUGCACAAUGGGGGGAACCCUGAUGCAGCGACGCCGCGUGGGUGAAGAAGCGCCUCGGCGCGUAAAGCCCUGUCAGCAGGGAAGAAAAUGACGGUACCUGAAGAAGAAGCCCCGGCUAACUACGUGCCAGCAGCCGCGGUAAUACGUAGGGGGCAAGCGUUAUCCGGAUUUACUGGGUGGAAAGGGGGCACAGACGGCGAGGCAAGCCAGGAGUGAAAGCCCGGGGCCCAACCCCGGGACUGCUCUUGGAACUGCGUGGCUGGAGUGCAGGAGGGGCAGGCGGAAUUCCUGGUGUAGCGGUGAAAUGCGUAGAUAUCAGGAGGAACACCGGUGGCGAAGGCGGCCUGCUGGACUGCAACUGACGUUGAGGCCCGAAAGCGUGGGGAGCAAACAGGAUUAGAUACCCCAGUAGUC
rnacentral:rRNA from 1 species